rnacentral:rRNA from 1 species
UACAGGGGGGGCAAGCGUUGUUCGGAAUUACUGGGCGUAAAGGCUCGUAGGCGGCCAACUAAGUCACACGUGAAAUCCCCAGGCUUAACCUGGGAACUGCGUGUGAUACUGGAUGGCUUGAAUUCGGGAGAGGGAUGCAGAAUUCCAGGUGUAGCGGUGAAAUGCGUAGAUAUCUGGAGGAAUACCGGUGGCGAAGGCGGCAUCCUGGACCGACAUUGACGCUGAGGAGCGAAAGCUAGGGGAGCAAACGGG